rnacentral:sRNA from 1 species
UAGGAGUUAUACCCCCUGCGCUUUACC